rnacentral:rRNA from 1 species
AGAGACAGCAGUAGCGCGGGAAUACAGAGGGUGCGAGCGUUAAUCGGAUUUACUGGGCGUAAAGCGUGCGUAGGCGGCUUCUUAAGUCGGAUGUGAAAUCCCUGAGCUUAACUUAGGAAUUGCAUUCGAUACUGGGAAGCUAGAGUAUGGGAGAGGAUGGUAGAAUUCCAGGUGUAGCGGUGAAAUGCGUAGAGAUCUGGAGGAAUACCGAUGGCGAAGGCAGCCAUCUGGCCUAAUACUGACGCUGAGGUACGAAAGCAUGGGGAGCAAACAGGAUUAGAUACCCCCGUAGUCCCUGUCUCUUAUACA